rnacentral:tRNA from 1 species
GGAAAGGUGCUCGAGUGGUUGAAGAGGCACGCCUGGAAAGCGUGUAUACCCCAAAAGGGUAUCCGGGGUUCGAAUCCCCGUCUCUCCG